CCAAGUUUAAACUCUCUCUCUCUCUCUCUCUCUCUCUCUCUCCCUCCGAGGCAGCAACUGAAUUGUAGAGGAAACAAUGUGUUUGAACUCAGAAACAUCUCCAUCUAGUCCUCUUUACUCUUCUUCGCCUUCGAAGGCCAUCAAAGCAAAACCACUUUCGAGUUCGCCGCCUAAUUAACAGGAACAGGAAGGGAAGACCAGGAGCGGCAGCAACAGAGGCAGAGACAGGAGGAGGGGCAAAGAUAGAGAUGCAAAUGAAGAACUUGAAGCUUUACAUGGAGAACCAGAGCAUUAUAGAAGAAAAUAACAAGCUGAGGAGAAAAGCGCUUCUCCUCGUCCAAGAAAACCAAGCCUUGUUUUCACAGCUCCAACAAAAGCAGCUUUCUCUCACCAAAACAACAGCAGCAGUACAAAAUGCAUGAAGGAUGCACUAAUAGUCCUAUGAAGCUGAAACAUCGAUCAUAGCAGUACUACUAGACGAAUUAUGUAAACACAUAUAUGUUUAAUGCUUAAUUUUCAAUUUUCAUCAGAAAAAGUUCCAAUUUUCAUCAGAGAAAGUUUAAAUAAGUAGUAGGGACCUCUCUUAGCCUUAAAUUGUUCCUUCAUCUCCUUGUUGGGGGACUGAUAUUAUUCCCCCCACCUCACUUUAUUUGUGGGAUAAUUUUGGUUUAGGUUGCAAACAAAUAAUAAAAUAUGGUAUGCUAUAUGGAUGAUUUACACUUUAUGCGUGUA